rnacentral:rRNA from 1 species
UGAGGAAUAUUGCGCAAUGGACGAAAGUCUGACGCAGCAACGCCGCGUGGGCGAUGAAGGCCUUCGGGUUGUAAAGCCCUUUUCUGAGGGACGAGAGAGGACGGUACCUCAGGAAUAAGUCUCGGCUAACUACGUGCCAGCAGCCGCGGUAAAACGUAGGAGGCGAGCGUUAUCCGGAUUUAUUGGGCGUAAAGCGCGUGCAGGUGGUAUCGUAAGUCGGAUGUGAAAGCCUCUGGCUUAACUAGAGGAUGUCGUUCGAUACUGCGGAACUUGAGGUCGGGAGAGGGAAGCGGAAUUCCCGGUGUAGUGGUGGAAUGCGUAGAUAUCGGGAGGAACACCAGUGGCGAAGGCGGCUUCCUGGCCCGCACCUGACACUAAGACGCGAAAGCGUGGGGAGCGAACG